UACGUAGGGUGCAAGCGUUACUCGGAAUUACUGGGCGUAAAGCGUGCGCAGGCGGUUUUGUAAGUCUGAUGUGAAAUCCCCGGGCUCAACCUGGGAAUUGCAUUGGAGACUGCAAGGCUAGAAUCUGGCAGAGGGGGGUAGAAUUCCACGUGUAGCAGUGAAAUGCGUAGAGAUGUGGAGGAACACCGAUGGCGAAGGCAGCCCCCCGGGUCAAGAUUGACGCUCAUGCACGAAAGCGUGGGGAGCAAACAGG
rnacentral:rRNA from 1 species